GACGAACGCUGGCGGCGUGCUUAACACAUGCAAGUCGAACGGAAAGGCCCUGCUUUUGUGGGGUGCUCGAGUAGCGAACGGGUGAGUAACACGUGAGUAACCUGCCCUUGACUUUGGGAUAACUUCAGGAAACUGGGGCUAAUACCGGAUAGGAGCUCCUGCUGCAUGGUGGGGGUUGGAAAGUUUCGGCGGUUGGGGAUGGACUCGCGGCUUAUCAGCUUGUUGGUGGGGUAGUGGCUUACCAAGGCUUUGACGGGUAGCCGGCCUGAGAGGGUGACCGGCCACAUUGGGACUGAGAUACGGCCCAGACUCCUACGGGAGGCAGCAGUGGGGAAUAUUGCACAAUGGGCGGAAGCCUGAUGCAGCAACGCCGCGUGCGGGAUGACGGCCUUCGGGUUGUAAACCGUUUUCGCCUGUGACGAAGCGUGAGUGACGGUAAUGGGUAAAGAAGCACCGGCUAACUACGUG
rnacentral:rRNA from 1 species